rnacentral:snRNA from 1 species
GCUUUGUUGCUUCGGAGGCAUCCAAUAAAAUUGGAAUAUACAGAGAAGAUUAGCAUGGAUGAUUCUAAGCAAGGAUGACAUAUACAAAUCGAGAAAUGAACCAGUAAGAA